rnacentral:piRNA from 1 species
UGAUCCAGUCUAACUGAGCUUCCAGUGCU